UUUCCGUAGGUGAACCUGCGGAAGGAUCAUUGAAUCUAUUGAAUCCACUCGGUAAUAUUUUGUCUCGCCGGCAAAGGGGGGCUGGUAUGUCUCAAUAUUUAUUGGGUCAUCCCUGUCGCUUCGGCGGGCAACGGCCCUUGGGUUUGUUGCCGCCCCUUUGUUGUGAUGCAUUCAAACCAACACCAAACCAAAACCUAAAUUGAAGACGCUUGCAAGGCGAGCUGUCGACAACAAAGACAACUCUCAACAACGGAUAUCUUGGCUCUC
rnacentral:misc_RNA from 1 species